AUGUCAAAGCCAAAACAUAACACAACAACAACAAUUUUCAAUAUGCCCUGCGAAUUGCCAAAUAAGCAGCAUAUAAAAGUUGUGUCUCUUUUCACGGAACUUGUGUAAAUAGAUCUCUUGCGAUGAUCUUGCGAAACAGGCUGUCGCUUGUCUAUGAUGUUAUUAAUAACAUUGUCAUGUGGCUGUUAGCCGAGUUUAACAAAUAUUUUUGGGCUGCUCUUGCUAAUUCCUCAAUACUAUAUUUCGUGGAAUUUAAAGCUAAGUAACUUUAAAGAGCGCCACUGACCUCAGAAGUGACCUUGACUGUGAGCAAUUGCUGUUGUUGCCUUUACAACGAAAGUUGCAUAAAGUCAAGUAAUUUGCUCUAUCAAAAGCACAAAGCGGAAAAAACAAGCCAAAACAAUCAUUGAGGGAUAGGCACGCGGGGAUGAGUUAGAGCGAUGACAAUAUAUUUACAGUUGGCUACAAUGGCGAAUAAUUGCUAUUAUUUUGGCUUAACAACAAUGCCAAACUUUUGCCAAUGGCUCUCAAACUGUUUGCUGGCGUUUUAAAUCGCACCAAAGUCGUUCAUGUGUGCGGCCCGAGUUCAGUUCAGCUGCGGGCGUAAAUUGAGCAUCACAAGUUCAAUUACACACAUAAAUAUACACACGUACGUGUUGAAUAUGUGUGCUGUUGGUUUUUGUUGUUGCCAUUGUUGUUGAUGAACUGCUCUCUAACUACAUAUUUAAUGGCACAAUGUUUGUUUCGCUUCUUUUAUAUUUCUUUUUGGCUUAAUUUUUCGUUUUUUUGCACAAAUUUUUCCCAUUUAAAUUUGAUGUUGGUUUUGGGUUGCUUUUCAAUUUCCGACGCCGACGCAGACUACGAACGAACGAAAAAAACACUUUUUGUCGUUGCUGCUGCCGUUUUGCGGGCAACUAAAAACAACAAUGAAGCAUUUCCGGUUACCAACCAAGCUAAUGUGUAAGAAACGAGUUGCAACAUUUACGCAAAAUACAAGCAAGUACUCUUUUCCGCCCUUUAUUGAUCCGUAGGUAUUUUAAAUUUUUUGCACUUGGGCCCACUCAAAAGCAAAGCAAAGUGCCUGGUUUUAUGACACAUUUCAGAAAUAACGCAUGUCCACUACACAAAUUGUCAAAUGGCGUGGGCCAAGCACUCAUAUAGGGAACAGACCUGACAGACAGACGGUCAGACAGACAUCAGACAGCACAAAGUCCCAUAACUGUUUAUGAGAAAUGCCAUUGACAGAGGGUGGCCACGAAGAAGAAGAAGUCCCCUUCAGUGCCCACGCAAUGUUCCUCAGAGAUUGCAAUUUGUUUGCCCGUUCCUUGCCCUCUUCCUGUUUGUGGCUGCCACUUGAUCUAUUUAAGCGCUGUGUCGAAGCACCAAAUGACACCAAGCAGGUCCCAAAUGCAUUUCUCGAAUCGAGGGCAUAUUGCACUCGGACCCAAACCCAGACCCAGACCAGAACUAAGAACCCGCAUCCCUGGCCGCUUCGCUGUUUCUGUUUGUUACUCGAAACCAUCGUAAAUAUGCUAGCAAUUUUGUGGGCGUGGCCCGUCCCUUGUAGAAAACUUUGACGCCAGCGAAGCCCGCUGGCAAUGGAUGCAGCAGCUGAGAUCGGGAGAGUUGGAUGCGGAGGAUGAAAUAGCAGCGAUAUCUCUCUAGUUCAUUGCUUGUAAAAUUGACUUUAGCACAAGCGCAUCGAGCAACGAGAACAACAACAACAUCAACAACUGCAACAACAACAACAAUAAAAUGCAAUGAGCCACAACAACUUUCUGCCGGCAGCCAAACAAGCCAAAGAUACUUAGCUACAAUUUUCAGAGCUGCCUUUCGUUUUAGCGUCUUUGCAUACCCUAACAGUUGGCAUGCUCAUUUUGUUGCAACAUACGUAUGUAUUUACUAUAUGUGUUGCAUGUACAAAGUACAAUAUAUAGUACAAUAUAUUUGGCUAUUCUGUUAAAAUUUAAAAUUAAAUAGCAAACGUGUCAUAAAACUCAA